ACGAACGCUGGCGGCGUGCCUAAUACAUGCAAGUCGAACGGUCUUUCUAUGGAAGCUUGCUCCACUGAGAAGAUAGUGGCGAACGGGUGAGUAACACGUGGGUAACCUGCCCAUAAGAGGGGGGAUAACAUCCGGAAACGGGUGCUAAUACCGCAUAGUUUUCUUGAUCGCAUGAUCGGGAAAGGAGAGACGGCCUUUGUGCUGUCGCUUAUGGAUGGACCCGCGGCGUAUUAGUUAGUUGGUGAGGUAACGGCUCACCAAGACGAUGAUACGUAGCCGACCUGAGAGGGUGAUCGGCCACAUUGGGACUGAGACACGGCCCAAACUCCUACGGGAGGCAGCAGUAGGGAAUCUUCCGCAAUGGACGAAAGUCUGACGGAGCAACGCCGCGUGAGUGAAAGAAGGUUUUCGGAUCGUAAAACUCUGUUGUCAGAGAAGAACAAGUUGGAGAGUAACUGCUCCAGCCUUGACGGUAUCUGACCAGAAAGCCACGGCUAACUACGUGCCAGCCGCCGC
rnacentral:rRNA from 1 species